GUGAAAAAUGAAAUUAAUCUUUCUAUUAGGAAACUAAAAAAUCAAGUGUCUUGAUUUGGCUUACGCUUAAUCUUUAUCAUGGAUAACUAUAACCUGUUGAGCAGUACUAUACGAGCGAUGACGAAUAUCCCCGUACGCAUCU